rnacentral:rRNA from 1 species
AUUGAACGCUGGCGGCAGGCCUAACACAUGCAAGUCGAGCGGAUGAAGGGAGCUUGCUCCUGGAUUCAGCGGCGGACGGGUGAGUAAUGCCUAGGAAUCUGCCUGGUAGUGGGGGAUAACGUCCGGAAACGGGCGCUAAUACCGCAUACGUCCUGAGGGAGAAAGUGGGGGAUCUUCGGACCUCACGCUAUCAGAUGAGCCUAGGUCGGAUUAGCUAGUUGGUGGGGUAAAGGCCUACCGAGGCGACGAUCCGUAACUGAUCUGAGAGGAUGAUCAGUCACACUGGAACUGAGACACGGUCCAGACUCCUACGGGAGGCAGCAGUGGGGAAUAUUGGACAAUGGGCGAAAGCCUGAUCCAGCCAUGCCGCGUGUGUGAAGAAGGUCUUCGGAUUGUAAAGCACUUUAAGUUGGGAGGAAGGGCAGUAAGUUAAUACCUUGCUGUUUUGACGUUACCAACAGAAUAAGCACCGGCUAACUUCGUG